GUAGAUUACGUACCCCUAGGACUGGAGUAGCUGCGGGAAACUGCAGGUAAUGCCAGAUAAUAUCUUCGGAUCAAAGGUGUGAUUCCGCCUAGGGAGCGGUCUACGUCCUAUUAGUUAGUUGGUGGGGUAAUGGCCUACCAAGACUUUGAUGGGUGGCGGGUGUGAGAGCACGACCCGCGUCACUGGGACUGAGACACUGCCCAGACACCUACGGGUGGCUGCAGUCGAGAAUCUUCGGCAAUGGGCGAAAGCCUGACCGAGCGACGCCGCGUGCGGGGAUGAAGGCCUUCGGGUUGUAAACCGCUGUCAAUGGGGAGGAAGGCUGCGUGAAGAGCGCAGUUUGACCUAUCUUUGGAGGAAGGACGGGCUAAGUUCGUGCCAGCAGCCGCGGUAAGACGAACCGUCCAAACGUUAUUCGGAAUUACUGGGCUUAAAGGGUGCGUAGGCGGGCGCUACAAGUCGGGUGUGAAAUCCCUCAGCUUAACUGAGGAANUGCGCCCGAAACUGUAGUGCUG
rnacentral:rRNA from 1 species